AUUGAACGCUGGCGGCAUGCCUUACACAUGCCAGUCGAACGGCAGCACGGGUGCUUGCACCUGGUGGCGAGUGGCGAACGGGUGAGUAAUACAUCGGAACAUGUCCUGUAGUGGGGGAUAGCCCGGCGAAAGCCGGAUUAAUACCGCAUACGAUCUACGGAUGAAAGCGGGGGACCUUCGGGCCUCGCGCUAUAGGGUUGGCCGAUGGCUGAUUAGCUAGUUGGUGGGGUAAAGGCCUACCAAGGCGACGAUCAGUAGCUGGUCUGAGAGGACGACCAGCCACCCUGGGACUGAGACACGGCCCAGACUCCUAAGGGAGGCAGCAGUUGGGAAUUUUUGACAAUGGGCGGAAGCCUGAUCCAGCAAUGCCGCGUGUGUGAAAAAGGCCUUCGGGUUGUAAAGCACUUUUGUCCGGAAAGAAAUCCUUGGCCCUAAUACGGUCGGGGGAUGACGGUACCGGAAGAAUAAGCACCGGCUAACUACGUG
rnacentral:rRNA from 1 species